GUUCAUCUAGCUCAGUUGGUAGAGCGCAAGGCUCUUAACCUUGUGGUCAUGGGUUUCAAGCUCUAUGGUAGGUG
rnacentral:tRNA from 1 species